rnacentral:rRNA from 1 species
CUGCCGUGGGCGUUGGAUAUUUGACGGGGGCUGCUCCUAGUACGAGAGGACCGGAGUGGACGCACCUCUGGUGGACCGGUUGUCACGCCAGUGGCAUCGCCGGGUAGCUAUGUGCGGAAGAGAUAACCGCUGAAAGCAUCUAAGCGGGAAACUUGCCUGAAGAUGAGAUAUCCCGGGGGUUAAACCCCCCUAAAGGGUCGUUCUAGACCAGGACGUUGAUAGGCUGGGUGUGGAAGCGCAGCGAUGCGUUAAGCUGACCAGUACUAAUUGCCCGUGAGGCUUGACCCU